rnacentral:rRNA from 1 species
CCUACGGGGGGCUGCAGUGGGGAAUAUUGGACAAUGGGGGGAACCCUGAUCCAGCCAUGCCGAGUGUGUGAAGAAGGCCCUCGGGUUGUAAAGCACUUUCAGUGAGGAAGAACGCCUGGUGGUUAAUACCCAUCAGGAAAGACAUCACUCACAGAAGAAGCACCGGCUAACUCCGUGCCAGCAGCCGCGGUAAUACGGAGGGUGCGAGCGUUAAUCGGAAUUACUGGGCGUAAAGCGCGCGUAGGUGGCUUGAUAAGCCGGUUGUGAAAGCCCCGGGCUCAACCUGGGAACGGCAUCCGGAACUGUCAAGCUAGAGUGCAGGAGAGGAAGGUAGAAUUCCCGGUGUAGCGGUGAAAUGCGUAGAGAUCGGGAGGAAUACCAGUGGCGAAGGCGGCCUUCUGGACUGACACUGACACUGAGGUGCGAAAGCGUGGGUAGCAAACAGGAUUAGAUACCCCAGUAGUC